rnacentral:rRNA from 1 species
GACGAACGCUGGCGGCGUGCUUAACACAUGCAAGUCGAACGAUGAAGAAAAGACUUGAAGCUUCGGCAGACAUUCAUUUCGGAUUAGUGGCAGACGGGUGAGUAACGCGUGAGCAACCUACCUCUUACAAAGGGAUAGCCUCGGGAAACCGGGAUUAAUACCAUAUAACAUUGCGACGAAGCAUUUCGAUGCAAUCAAAGCUACGGCGGUAAGAGAUGGGCUCGCGUCCCAUUAACCAGAUGGUGAGGUAACGGCUCACCAUAGUAACGAUGGGUAACCGGCCUGAGAGGGUGAACGGUCACACUGGAACUGAGACACGGUCCAGACUCCUACGGGAGGCAGCAGUGGGGAAUAUUGCACAAUGGAGGGAACUCUGAUGCAGCGACGCCGCGUGAGUGAUGAAGGAAUUCGUUUCGUAAAACUCUGUUCUAUGGGAAGAAAAGGACUGUACCAUAGGAGAAAGCUCCGGCUAAAUACGUG